AUCGCCCCGCUCAAGACCUAAGAGAGACCAACAACAGAGUGCAGGACAUUCACCCCACAGUACCUAAUCCGUACAAUCUGCUUAGCACCCUGAACCCUGAGCGAAAAUGGUAUACUGUCCUGGACUUAAAAGAUGCUUUCUUUUGCUUGCCUCUGCAUAAAGAUAGUCAGUUGCUGUUUGCUUUCAAAUGGGUAAACCUAGAAACUGGAACGACUUAUCAACUAACUUGGACCAGACUCCCACAGGGGUUCAAAAACUCCCCCACUCUCUUUGAUGAAGCCCUCCACAGAGAUCUCAACAACUUCAGAACUAUGCACCCCGAAGUCACCCUGCUUCAAUAUGUGGAUGACCUGCUACUGGCAGCCGAUACCAAGGAAAACUAUACAUUUUCAGGAUGGAUUGCAGCCUUACACACA